UACCCCGAGGAAAGAAAUCAACGAGAUUCCCCCAGUAGCGGCGAGCGAACGGGGAGCAGCCCAGAGUCAACAUCAAUAUUUACCGCAGGAGAAGGUCUGGAAAGGCCGGCAAUAAAGGGUGAUAGCCCCGUAUCUGAAACGGUAAGUGUUGUGAACUCGAAGAGUAGGGCGGGCACGUGUUAUCCUGUCUGAAUAUGGGGGGACCAUCCUCCAAGGUAAAUACUCCUGACUGACCGAUAGUGAACCAGUACCGUGAGGGAAAGGCGAAAAGAACCCCGGGGAGGGGAGUGAAAUAGAACCUAAAACCGUGUACUACAAGCAGUGGGAGCCCCAAAAGGGUGUGACUGCGUACCUUUUGUAUAAUGGGUCAGCGACUUAUAUUCUGUAGCAAGGUUAACCGGAUAGGGGAGCCGUAGGGAAACCGAGUCUUAACUGGGCGUUAAGUUGCAGGGUAUAGACCCGAAACCCGG
rnacentral:rRNA from 1 species